rnacentral:rRNA from 1 species
AGAAUCAACGCUGGCGGCGUGCCUAACACAUGCAAGUCGCACGAGAAAGGGGAGCAAUCCCUGAGUACAGUGGCGCACGGGUGAGUAACACGUGAAUAAUCUACCUCCGAGUGGGGAAUAACUGAGAGAAAUCUUAGCUAAUACCGCAUAACACUUACGAGUCAAAGCAGCAAUGCGCUUGGAGAGGAGUUCGCGGCCGAUUAGUUAGUUGGCGGGGUAAUGGCCCACCAAGACGAUGAUCGGUAUCCGGCCUGAGAGGGCGCACGGACACACUGGAACUGAAACACGGUCCAGACUCCUACGGGAGGCAGCAGUGGGGAAUUUUGCGCAAUGGGGGAAACCCUGACGCAGCAACGCCGCGUGGAGGAUGAAGCCCCUUGGGGUGUAAACUCCUUCGAUCGGGAAGAUAAUGACGGUACCGAUAUAAGAAGCCCGGCUAACUUCGCGCCAGCAGCCGC